AUUGAAUGCAAGGGAAGCAAAAGAGCAUUUGACCUCCCUUGAUAAAAUAAAAAAUAUAAAAUAAUAGUUUAGCUCAAGUGUGAAUAGUCCUGGCGCAGCAAACACAUCGCAUUAAGACAAAUACGUCAUUGACAGAAACAACUUGAGUUGUUGCAUUUGGUGUUGUCCUCCGGUGGCUAGCUAGCUACAAUUGUCCAUUUCCUAAAUUAGCCAUGGAUUGAGAUAGGGAUGAUUAUAAAGGCGAUUCUGAUCCAACCAUAAAUUCAUACAUUGUUCACCUGGACUGAGAGAACAGAAUUUCAAUAUGUAGCUAGAUGUAGAAGGCUGAUGUUAACUAGCUAACGUUGCCCAUGAAAGUAAGUUAGGCAAGCAAGCAUUUUAGCCAGGUUGCCUAAAACAACAACACAAAUAAAUGUGUACUGUAUGACAGAGGAAUAGACUGUUUCGUCAACAUGAAAGAGGAUGGGAGCAGUAACAUUCGAAACGGUGAAGUCGGCGCGAAACCCCCACGACUGGAUCACGGUAAGUAAUUAAGGGAACAUUCCAGGCAUUCCCGUGAUUGACAGAUAGCAGGUUGAUUGGCAUGUCGGACCCGCGAACACUGGGUACUGAAACGGGGGAAGCUGCUUUGCAGCUCAUGCGACGGGUGAGUGUGCCCAAUCCACCAAGGGAAGCUGCGUUGCAGCCCGUGCGCCCUGCACCCAGAGAUAAAGUGCAUGAGGGUCCCAAAUCAGCAGGUGCCAGAAGUAAGGGGGGAGUUUGGCACAGGUGUCGAGGGUCCGUCUGCGUCCAUGCGCCAGGAUGAAGUCCGUGAGGCGAUUCAUUUACAUAAUGCAACUGAACGUUUUCCACAACGUGAAUAAAAAAACCUAUGCUUUGUAUAUUGUUUGGCAUUCUGUUUCUUACGCCAAUAUCUGUAUGACCUGCCGCCUCCUCAGUCCAUCAGCCGGGGCAGGUGCUCCAUUGGGUGGUGGGUUAGGAGACUCUUGGGGGUCCAUUUUAAUCUCCGCAUCCAUUUCAAUACCAUGCCUCAGGGCUAUGUUGUGCCGCACCCUACAUUUCAG
rnacentral:lncRNA from 1 species